UUUAGGGGUUUCUAUGGAAUUGGUUU
rnacentral:piRNA from 1 species